rnacentral:antisense_RNA from 1 species
AAGAGCACGACAUUGCUCACAUUGCUUCCAGUAUCGUUGCCCGCCUGUUGGCGGGCUUUUUUU